UUUUCCACUUCUUUGUUUUUUUGCCCCAGAUUUUUCUUUACCUCUUUUGUCUCCUGUAUCUUUCCAGUUCUGUGGACUUCUCUGAGGGGAAGAGGGCUCUGAGGAUUGAAGAAAGAAAAGCUCUUCUUUAGUCAUUUAUUACUCACAGGACUUCUGAUGAUUGAGUUUUCUUGCAUAUUUGGCCCCUCUACGUCUACCUUUAGAAAUUCAGGAACUGAAUAUGCCAGGGAUGGAAUAGUGUGUUGACCUGUGCCUUUGGCACUUGCUUGUGGCCUUUCUUACUGGAUCGCCCCAUCGCAGCCUUGACUGUUCAGCUCAAUUCAUUACUUAUUUGACAUGAAACAUUGUCAGUGAGUCUAAUGGAAAAUUCCACUAAAGAAGGAAAAAACAUCUCAAAUAUGGAACAGCGAGCUAUUGAUUAAAGCUGCCAUGUGCCCUCAGAGCUCCUUUCUUCGAUAAUGCCUAAAACAGAUCAAGGUUAACAUGGGUGUUACCUCUUAACAGUCCAAAUGUCGGGCUGGCUUUAAGUACAGAGGUGAUGGACUAAUGUCCCAACUGCCUCACGUGGACCACACAGGUGACCCCGAGGACUGCGGGCUGGGACAAGGCAGUCACUCUCACCAAGAUGCCACCUGGGACUCUGACCUUGUGACUUGCGAUUGCAUUGGGCCCAGCUGCAUCAUCCGGGAUCCUCUCCCCAUCUCAAGAGCCUUACUUCAAUCACAUCUUUUUUCUGCGGAAGCCGACAUCUUUACAGAUUUCAUCCUUGCCCAGACAUUAAUACAGAAGCUAGAACGAAACAAUUUCUACAGUCCAGACGCAAGAGCAAAGAAAAAAGAAUUUGGUACACACGAUUUCCUACGUGGAACACAUAGUAUGUUUUCAACAUCUUUUGGAAGUACUAUGUUAUUUCUCUGCAUAGUUAUUUAAGAGAGGCAAACUGCAAAUGGCAUUCCUUGUAUGUGUACAGAGGUGUUAAUGUAGCAACAGCGAAUACAUCUAUCCAUAAGAUACAGUGAACUCACUUCUGUGUGUCUGGUCAAAGGCAAUAGUUCUCAUUCAGUAUUGUUCUCAUGUUAAAAAUUAACAUUCAUCAGACACACAUUAUGUGCUGGGAUGGUCUUGGAUGACCCAUCAGGCUGAGCUAAUCUACUGAAUAAUAUUGCCUAAUUUGUAGACCUUGGGGAAAUAAACCCCUGAUUUUUAUUGCUUCAGUGUCUGGUGUUAAACAAGUUCUAGAACAGCAGGCUAACCACAGGCUGGAGCCAUAACAUUGCUUGAUGAGCUGUCAGCGCACUGAUGCUGAGUUCUCGAGGUGCCACCGCCACAGCCCGCAUGUCGGGGGUCCGCCCUGAAUCUCCUCCAAACGCAAGAAUGCCUGUAAUGUGUUUCUUUUAGGUUCAGCUGUCAAGGAGCUUUUUCAGUCUACUAGUUGAUGUUUAAAAACUCCGUUCUCAUUUUCUGAUAGAUUUUUAAAAACAAGAUAACUAGAUAUAGCUCUUUGAAGAUAAAUAUUGAGAACUCUGUCGACUAAAUUGAUUCAGUUCAGCAUUGUGCAAAAUGGUAUGGAUUCCUGUCAUUUGGGGAAGCUUUUAAAUUUCUAAGGACUUUUCCUAAAAGGAUCAGAAUAAAAGACGUGAAGUAGAUACCUGAUA